rnacentral:rRNA from 1 species
GACGGAGGAUGCAAGCGUUAUCCGGAAUGAUUGGGCGUAAAGCGUCCGCAGGUGGCAAUGUAAGUCUGCUGUCAAAGCGUCUGGCUCAACCAGAUAAAGGCAGUGGAAACUACAUAGCUAGAGUAGGGUAGGGGUAGAGGGAAUUCCUGGUGUAGCGGUGAAAUGCGUAGAGAUCAGGAAGAACACCGGUGGCGAAAGCGCUCUGCUGGACCUUAACUGACACUGAGGGACGAAAGCUAGGGGAGCGAAUGGG